GGCAGAGGACGGUGUGAGGAAGGGGCUUGGCUGGACGGCAUGUAAGUUGAGCUGCUGACACAGGCCAGACGGGGGCUUGCUAUUGGUCACCGGUUAACAAGAAAAUAAAAAAGAAAGACAAAGGCUUUUCUGUGCGCCUGCACCUAUCCUGACCCUAGGGGUACUCACUGGCUUACACAGGCGGCUGACCGCCUCCUGACCAAGAAAGGUACCAUCUACUGACCUGAUCAGGAUGCCCAUUCACCCACAUCAUUCUAUUAAAAAUGAAUCCCAGAUAGAUCAGUGGCCCUUACCUCUCACAUCAUGAAGACCUUUGAGAGGUUGGUCCUGGACUAUUUGAGUCCUCUUGUGGUAGACCACCUUAGACUCUCUGCAGUUUGCCUGUCAGAUAAAGGCUGGUGUGGAGGAGACAAUGAUCUGUCUGCUCCACAAGGCUUAUUCUCACCUGGACAAAGGUGGCCACACUGUGAGGAUGAGAUGUUUCUCCAGCACCUUCAGUACCAUCCAGCCAUCCCUGUUAAGGGGUCACCUCAGAGAUAUGUGGCUGGAUGAGCCUGUGGUGUCCUGAUGAUGGACCAUCUGCGAGGCAGACCACCAUUUGGGAGACUCAUGGACUGUGAGAGCAACACUAGAGCACCACAAGGAACAGGCCUGUCUGCUUCACUCUUCACUCUGUGCAUCUCAGGCUAGAAAUUUAACAGCAGGUCAGGUCACCUGCAGAAAUUCUCAGAUGAUUCUGCACUUAUGGGGUGAUAUUGGCAAGGGGGAUGAGGCAGAGGAGAAGAAGUCAAGGGGAGAACUUUGAGAAUUGUCUGCCACUGAACAUCAGCAAAACCAAAGACUUGCUUAUUGACUUUCACCGCACCAACGAGCGUUUCUGUACCGUCACUAUUCAGGGAGUGGAUGUAGAGGUGGUCCACUCCUACAUGUACUCGAGGGUCCAUAUCAAUAACAGGUUGGACUUGUCUGGUAACACAGAGGACAUCUAGAAGAAAGGGUAGAGAAUGUCCUUUAUCCUUAGCACUGUGUUCCUUUAACAUGGGGAGUGACAUCCUUUACAUCUUCUACAACUCUAUGAUGGCCAGUGUGGUGUGUUGGGCUGGUGACAUCACUUCAAGAGAGCUCCACUGAACCAUCAAGCUGAUUAAAAGGGAAGGCUCAGUUACAGGAGGCACUCUGGACUUCAAUAAUUGUCUGCAUCUUCCCAUCAGCAAAACCAAAAACUACCAGACCAAUUGUGUGGAGGUCUACCCAAAGAUUUCAUGUUUUGGUCUCCUCAGACCAGAGAAUCUUUUUUUCCCUUGUGCUCUCAGAGUCCUUAAAAAUUAUUAUAAGCCCUUUACUUAAUUGUGGCGUCCACUUAGCCACUCUACCUUGAACAUGUGAUGGAGUGCUCCGCAGAGAUGGUCAUCUUUCCAACAGGUUCUCUCUUCUCUCAGCAAAUGGACUUCUGAUUUUUUGGGGCUUCUUUCUCACCUGCCUGACCAAAGCCCUUAUUGUCUGGUUACUCAGUUUGGCUGGAUGGCCAACUCUAGGAAGAGCUCCGGUGGUCCCAAACGUCUUUCAUUUCUCAAUUCUUGAGGCUGCUGUGCUCCUGAGAACAUUCAAAAGCUUCACAGAUGGUUUUAUUCUUUUGCCCGGUUCUGUUGUCUCACCACAAUUUGGUCCCGGUGGUCUACACAGAGUUCCUCGGGCUUCAUGGCUUAGUGUUUGCCCUGACAUGCAUUGUGAAUCGUUGGACCUUCUCUAUAUGGAGAGAUGUGUGCCUUUCCAAAUGAUGUCCAGUCAGCUCCAAUGGCCACAGGUGGACUCCAAUCACCUUCUAUAAACAUCUCAUGCAAACAGGAGGCACCCAAGCACAAUCUGGAGGGCCACAGCAGAGCGUUUUCUAGGAAUGACAGAUUUCAGUGUUUGCUGGCGCCCUGCCCGGGGU